rnacentral:tRNA from 1 species
GCACCCGUAGCUCAGCUGGAUAGAGCGUCGGUCUACGGAACCGAAAGUCGGAGGUUCGAAUCCUUCCGGGUGCG